rnacentral:rRNA from 1 species
UACGUAGGGGGCAAGCGUUAUCCGGAAUUACUGGGUGUAAAGGGAGCGUAGACGGUAAUGUAAGUCUGGAGUGAAAGGCGGGGGCCCAACCCCCGGACUGCUCUGGAAACUAUGUUACUGGAGUGCAGGAGAGGUAAGCGGAAUUCCUAGUGUAGCGGUGAAAUGCGUAGAUAUUAGGAGGAACACCAGUGGCGAAGGCGGUCUGCUGGACAGCAACUGACGCUGAGGCGCGAAAGCGUGGGGAGCAAACAGG